CGGUACGUACUGGUAUUGUUGGUUUCUCCCUUCUGACGAACCAUGAUGUCAUUUAUUUGGUGUUGUGGGGAAUCAGGACUGUUACUUUGAAAAAAUUAGAGUGUUUAAAGCAGGCUCACGCUUGAAUACAUUAGCAUGGAAUAAUGAAAUAGGACGUUUGAUUCUAUUUUGUUGGUUUCUAGGAUCGACGUAAUGAUUAAUAGGGAUAGUUGGGGCAUUAGUAUUCAAUUGUCAGAGGUGAAAUUCUUGGAUUUAUUGAAGACUAACUACUGCGAAAGCAUUUGCCAAGGAUGUUUUCAUUAAUCAAGAACGAAAGUUAGGGGAUCGAAGACGAUCAGAUACCGUCGUAGUCUUAACCAUAAACUAUGCCGACUAGGGAUCGGAUGAUGUUAAUUUUUUAAUGACUCAUUCGGCGCCUUACG
rnacentral:rRNA from 1 species